GCCCUGAAAGGAGAGAAGGUUAGCACUCCCCUUGACAAGGAUGGAAGAGGCUUCGGCCUGCAACACGCAUACGGUAAGAAGAAAAUGAGGAGAAAAUGAAAUAUUAUAAGCCAAGAUGUGAU